rnacentral:rRNA from 1 species
UACAGAGGUCCCAAGCGUUGUUCGGAUUCACUGGGCGUAAAGGGUGCGUAGGCGGUCGGGUAAGUCUGGCGUGAAAUCUCCAAGCCUAACUUGGAAACUGCGUUGGAUACUAUCCGGCUCGAGGAAUGGAGGGGAGACUGGAAUACUUGGUGUAGCGGUGAAAUGCGCAGAUAUCAGGAGGAACACCGGUGGCGAAGGCGGGUCUCUGGGCCGAUACUGACGCUGAGGAGCGAAAGCGUGGGGAGCGAACAGG